rnacentral:tRNA from 1 species
GGGCGUUAGCUCAGCUGGUAGAGCAGUGGACUCUUAAUCCAUUGGUCAAAGGUUCGAACCCUUUACGC